AUAUUUUAUAAAUAUACAUCUAGCUUAGCCUGCAGGUUGUGAUCCUGCUGGUCCAAUUCGCGAAUCCUGCAACUGCGUGAACCCUAGCCCCGUGGAAAACGUUAAGAGUUUGGCUGCCGAUAUGGUAGCCAUGGCCGCGGCCAACUCUCCAAUUACCAUGCGGGAGAUCCUGACUCUUCUAAGUCUGGAGUCAGAGAAAUAGACAUAGGGAGACUUCUCUUAAGAACAGUGUUGUUAUCAUGGACAUGAACAUGCCGAUGCAGCCAUUAAGGAGCCCUAUCACUGCAGACUCGGCAUUGAUUAAUCCCAACAGCAGGAUUCUUGCUCUCAAAGAGAUUGCAACUGGUCAACAGGAAUUUGCAGCUUUCUUCUGUGUAUCAGCAGCAUAGCCAGGCCCUUGAAGCACAUGCAGCAUCAUUUGCUUUGGUUAAGGUUUCUGGAAAUGACCAUCCCUCUAUUCUUAUUUGUUUUGCUUCAGAGAUGUCCCAUGUCAAACACUUAACUUCAAAGUUGCAUAUGAUACCCAGCCAGGUUGAUCUACACAAUUACACCAUAUUCUCGUAAAUAGAGAUGCCUUUAAAGUAAUUUGUUUCAUGUCUUAAUACUUACCACUUAUUCUUCGUCUUAUUGUUGGCACCUCCUGUAGGUUACAGUUAAGAUUCAAGAGUUCUUUUUUUUAUUUUUUUGUAUGCCCAGUUGUUGCCUCUUGCAUUGCCCCUGGCAUGCGUGGACCUUUUCUGGCCCUACCACCAGUGGGUGGGAUGGGGAUGCCUCCAAUGCCGUUGUUCAUCCACAGAUUUGUUAGGUGGUACUCAUUUGGUACUGGUAAACAAUCUAAUGCAGCAGCAGGUGGUCAGCCAAGAAAAAGUAAACCACAUUUGUAAUUUUAAUAUAGGCAUUGGUUUUGCUUUGUACCUGGCAAUUUUUUUGGUGCCAUACAAUGCUGUGCGGAGGAUUUUGUCUGUUGACUGAUCUCUUGUGAUGAGAGAUGCAGCCGAGUUUCGUGAGAGCAUGCUCCGUAGCUGGGUUUCAUGUGUUUAGGUGCUCAAUGGUUUAAUUUCUACUUAUUGUCCAUUUUGCUGCGAGAAGCACCUUUAAUUGAUGUAUCAUUUCUCUUUUUGUUGCCUUA